GAACCUACGGGGGGCAGCAGUGGGGAAUAUUGCACAAUGGGGGGAACCCUGAUGCAGCGACGCCGCGUGGGUGAAGGAGUAUUUCGGUAUGUAAAGCCCUAUCAGCAGGGAAGAACAAUGACGGUACCUGACUAAGAAGCCCCGGCUAACUACGUGCCAGCAGCCGCGGUAAUACGUAGGGGGCAAGCGUUAUCCGGAUUUACUGGGUGUAAAGGGAGCGUAGGUGGCAAGGCAAGUCAGAUGUGAAAACCCGGGGCCCAACCCCGGGAGUGCGAUUGAAACUGUCUGGCUAGAGUGCAGGAGAG
rnacentral:rRNA from 1 species